AAUGAACGCUGGCGGCGUGCUUAACACAUGCAAGUCGUACGAGAAACCCCGGCUUGCCGGGGGAGUAAAGUGGCGCACGGGUGAGUAACGCGUGGGUAAUCUACCCUCGAAUUGGGGAUAACACACCGAAAGGUGUGCUAAUACCGAAUAAGACCACGACCUCCACGGGGGUUGCGGUCAAAGUUGGCCUCUGCUUGCAAGCUGUCGUUUGAGGAUGAGCCCGCGUACCAUUAGCUUGUUGGUGGGGUAAUGGCCUACCAAGGCAACGAUGGUUAGCUGGUCUGAGAGGAUGGCCAGCCACACUGGAACUGGAACACGGUCCAGACUCCUACGGGAGGCAGCAGUGAGGAAUUUUGCGCAAUGGGGGAAACCCUGACGCAGCAACGCCGCGUGAGUGAAGAAGGCCUCCGGGUUGUAAAGCUCUGUCAAGUGGGAAGAACCUUUUCGGCCGAAUACGCCGAGAAACUGACGGUACCGCUGAAGGAAGCACCGGCUAACUCCGUGCCAGCCGCCGCGGUAA
rnacentral:rRNA from 1 species